rnacentral:rRNA from 1 species
UGCUUGCAAACUGAAGAUGGCGACCGGCGCACGGGUGAGUAACACGUAUCCAACCUGCCGAUAACUCCGGGAUAGCCUUUCGAAAGAAAGAUUAAUACCGGAUGGCAUACGAAUAUCGCAUGAUAUUUUUAUUAAAGAAUUUCGGUUAUCGAUGGGGAUGCGUUCCAUUAGUUUGUUGGCGGGGUAACGGCCCACCAAGACUACGAUGGAUAGGGGUUCUGAGAGGAAGGUCCCCCACAUUGGAACUGAGACACGGUCCAAACUCCUACGGGAGGCAGCAGUGAGGAAUAUUGGUCAAUGGGCGAGAGCCUGAACCAGCCAAGUAGCGUGAAGGAUGAAGGCUCUAUGGGUCGUAAACUUCUUUUAUAUGGGAAUAAAGUUUUCCACGUGUGGAAUUUUGUAUGUACCAUAUGAAUAAGGAUCGGCUAACUCCGUGCCAGCAGCCGCGGUAAUACGGAGGAUCCGAGCGUUAUCCGGAUUUAUUGGGUUUAAAGGGAGCGUAGGUGGAUUGUUAAGUCAGUUGUGAAAGUUUGCGGCUCAACCGUAAAAUUGCAGUUGAAACUGGCAGUCUUGAGUACAGUAGAGGUGGGCGGAAUUCGUGGUGUAGCGGUGAAAUGCUUAGAUAUCACGAAGAACUCCGAUUGCGAAGGCAGCUCAC